UCUUUUUUUUAGACCAGUGAAGGGGUGGCGGGGGAGCGUAGAGGAACAGCAAGGGGUAAGAGGGUACCAGCGGGGACGAGGAGGAGGGGAAUUACAGUUUAGGCCGGCGCCUUGACCGGCAGCCUCCGCACCCUGAGCGUGUGGGGACGAGAAGGGACGAGGAAGUAGCUUAGGCCAGCGGCUUCACUGGCUCUGCCACGAGCUCGAGCCGUACGAGCGGGCCUGCGGCUCCGAGGAGGGAGGAGGACUAAAUCAUUUGUAGCGGCGGCGGCGGUACUCGGAGAGGUGGGAGAGGGCGCGAGCAGGGUCAAGGUCCAAUGAGAUAGAGAGGCUGGGGCGGCGGACGAGGAGGGGCAGUUAAACCAAGCAGUUGUCCACGUAGUGGAGUGAGGCACGUUACAAGCCUGGGGAUCCCAAUAGACGAGCCCCCGGUACCGCACAAGGCGCACCACGACGGAAGCGGCGGCGGCGGCGGGCCGCCACUCCCGUGACCGAAAACAGAGUACCCAGCGACGGACUGAAGGCCAGACCCCUCUGCCCGAAGUAACCGGUUAUUUAUCCCUGCCCUUCCAGGCUCUGACCUCCAGGGACGAGCGUUUGAGCGUUGGGGCCGUCGAUAAGAUGAUGGUUAUCUUUUUCUAAAGUACUUCCUCUUCUUCUUCCGCGGUUUUCCCUUACCCUCGUUGUUCAGACUUACCUGCCACUCUAAGUUUAAACCUCGUUAUGUAGAACGGGUCAAAGUGGACACCUUUGGGAGAAAAUUCCAGUUCUAGGGAUGUUUCUAGUUUUACUAUCUUCCAGGCCACACGACCGCGAUUACGUUUCGCACCGCGUCUACCCGACCCAGGAGCCGGGUAGCAGGAGUAACAGACGCGGAUGUAGUGGAUGAUGUAGCAACAGGAGUAGAGGCUGAUGAUGGCGAGCGGCCUUGGGUAGGUACCGUUUGCCUUGAUAUGUGUACAUGUACCGGCGGCAGGCGAGGACGGAGCCCGGAUCUCUACAUCGACACACACCGUUACGUGUCAUGUGUCAACAGAUACGUAGUGUCAACCGUGCCCGUAGUACAGACACCACGGGUCGUUGACGGCGGUAAUUUUCCCGGUGCUGCGCUUGACGUCGUCCUACCCCGCUACAUGGACCACUACAAGGCGGAACAGCUCGAGCAGGAGAGUAUCAAGGGCCCGGACCUCUAGCCGGUGGAAACAGAGGUAGUAGCGGCAAUAGUACAGGAAGUGGAUGAGGAAGUAGCGCAAGAAGGACUCACACGCUGGACGCGCGUUCCUAUCCGGUCACCGCCACAUGUCGGUGAACGUAGCCAGCCGCCGGUUUGCUUCCUCGCCACCCACCACUGGACACGCAUUCCUCUCCGGCCGGUCGCCACCGCCCCCGCCUCCGGUUGUGUCUAGUUACCGCUGUUCCCUUUCUCUCCGUUCCGUUCGUAGCUGCCACCGCCCCCUCCUCCCAGUCCGCCGCUGGGAGCUCCCUCAUCCUCGUAGGCCGCCCGUCUCCGUCCACCGUACGCAGCGCCCCAUCAACAAAACUCCGCUAAACUAACGCUAGUCAAAGGACAAAAAUACCGAACGCACUAGCAUCCCGAACGUCUCCACCCUGCCAUCUCAAAAGCAGGCGGCUCCUUUUAACGAUUCGCGUCAAAACGGACUCCCAAUCAGAUUAGAAUUACCAAUCUAGAUUAAUUCAUUAGACUAGUACUCCAACAUUAACCAGGUACUACAAAACACAUCGAAUCCGAUCCACGUGAAUCGUUACUUAUACAAACGAACAAAUUAUCAUCAUAUCUAUUACAGGUAAUGCGGUUGUAUUUGUAGGUACAUGUAUAUGCUACAUCAUCAUAUGCGUGUUUGGUGUGCGUAGAAAGCCGACGAGGAAGUUAUGCUACGAUAGUGUUUGCGUUUGCCACCCAAAACCCACAGGAACACCGAAACUGGUAUUUUAGUGCUAGUUUAGCUACACGUCUAUUAAAAAGGUGGUUAACUGGACGUUAAUGAC
rnacentral:rRNA from 1 species